CCCUUUCUGUGAGCUGUUCACUCUGUUGAUAGUUUCUUUUGCCGUAAAGAAGCUCUUUAGUUUAAUUAGGUCCCAUUUGCCAAUUUUUGUUUUUCUUGCAAUUACUUUUGGCAUCUUUGUCAUGAAGAUCAUUUCCAGGUCCUAUGUCCGCAAUGGUAUUUCCUAGGUUAUCGUCCAAGGUUUUAAUAUGUUUUCAUUUUAGAUUUAAGUUUUUAAUCCUGCCUUUGCCUCCCAAAGUGCUGGGAUUACAAGCGUGAGCUACCACACCCAGCGAGGAAGCCAAGUUUAACGUGUGUGCUCCACUCCUCCAACCUGGCCAAAGGGCAGUCAUCAUCACUGGCCACUGCUGACCACAGCCUUUAGAAACUCCCCUUGAACGUGCUGGGCUGACCUUCCUCUGAUCACAGGCAAGGCAAAGGAAAACGACAGGCCCUUGCCUUCCCGGUCCUCAAGGGUCAGCUGUAAGAUGAUGUCAUAAAGCCAGAUCAGGUCCUGGGGCCGGGGGAAGCACUUGCUGUCAUCCUCUGGCUGCUGCUGCAGCAGAGCCCUCUGCAGACCUUUGGCCAUGCUCUCAUUACGCUUGAUUGCCAUUGACAGCUUGAUGUUGUAGAUGAGCAUGAGAGUGUGGAGCAGAGUUGGCGAGUGCAAGUCGAGCCCAUCAACCUGGACAGCUGUCUCCGUGCUUUCACCAGUGAGGAAGAGCUAGGGGAAGAUGAGAUAUACUACUGUUCCAAGUGUAAGACCCACUGCUUUAGCAACAAAGAAGCUGGAUCUCUGGAGGCUUCCACCCUUCCUGAUUAUUCACCUUAAGCGAUUUCAAUUUGUAAAUGAUCAGUGGAUAAAAUCACAGAAAAUUGUCAAAUUUCCUCGGGAAAGUUUUGAUCCGAG
rnacentral:lncRNA from 10 species